rnacentral:rRNA from 1 species
UGCUUCUUGAACAUAAUAAGAAGUAAUCUCCUGCCCAGUGAAUUUUCAACGGCCGCGGUAUCCUAACCGUGCAAAGGUAGCAUAAUAAUUUGCCCAUUAAUUGUGGGCUAGAAUGAACGGGGUAACGAAAUAAGCUCUGUCUCAAUAAAAACUAUAAAAACUAAUAUCCAAGUGAAGAAGCUUAGAUAAAAUUAAAGGACAAGAAGACCCUAUAGAGCUUUAUCUUUUUAUGUUUAUACAAAAGAAAGAUUGGGUUGGGGCGACCAUGGAUAAAUCAUCCAUAAUUUAUAAGACAAACUAGUCAAUUAAUAGAUCCUUUUAAGAUCACAGAAUCAAGCUACCUUAGGGAUAACAGGCUAAUCCUAUUAAAGAGCUCUUAUCGACAAUAGGGAUUGGCACCUCGAUGUUGGCUUAGAAUAUCUUUAAGGCGCAGAAGUCAUAAAAAGAGGGUUUGUUCAACCCAUAAUAUUCU